rnacentral:snoRNA from 1 species
AGCAGAUGAUGGUUUUUUCUCACGAUGGUCUACAGAUGCCACCUGGGCACUGCAGAAAAUGCCAAUGGCUUAGCUGAUGCCAAAAA